rnacentral:rRNA from 1 species
GGCUGGUAUGAACGGCAAGACGGAAGUUUAACUGUCUCUCUUUUAGGGUCCUGAAUUUAUCAUCUUUGUGAAGAGGCGAAGAUAAGAUCGUAGGACGAGAAGACCCUGUCGAGCUUAAGCUAUGGGUUAGAGUUUCAAAGUUUUUGUUUCUAAGCUAAUUUAUUAUUAAAUUGGUUUUACUUAGGGUAAAAAUUUACUGCUAAUAAGUUGUUUUGGUUGGGGCAACCACGGAGAAGACAAAUCCUCCGCUAGAAAACUAAAGAAAAACUUAUUAUUUUAGAAGAUCUUUAGAUUAAUAAAUGAUCCACUAGAAAGUGAUCAAAAGAACAAGUUACCGCAGGGAUAACAGCGUAAUUUUUUUGGAGAGUUCAUAUUGAUAAAAAAGUUUGCGACCUCGAUGUUGGAUCGGGACUUCCUGGGGAUGCAGCAGUUUCCAAGGGUUGGUCUGUUCGACCAUUAAAGUCCU